ACAAACAAAAUACAUAAUUGUUGUCAUUUAAGGACAUGUUCAAAAUAAAUCAUGCUAUCAAAAUUUACAAUAUAAUUUUAUUUGAGUGAAAUCUAUCCUGGUAUAGCAAUUUUUAUUAAAAAAAAUGUAUCAAAAAUAUGAUUUUCAGUCAUUGGAAAAUAUUUGGAUUAACUGGAGUAUACGAGAAUUGUAGUUCCUUGCAGACUAUCUUUUGUUAAGGUGGUACCUAACACUACAGGGAGAUAACUCUGUAAAAUCAGCUAAACAUUUUAAUUACAUUGCAAAAUUAAGAAAAUAUUAAGCUUCUCAAUGAUCAAAUAUUUUUUUUAAACUGCUAUAUAUCCAACCAAAUUUUAUUGAGAAAGUGAUUGGUUAAAGUUUUUUGAAAUUUUGAAAUUUUUGUCAAAGGGUCAAAGUAAAUAUUUUGUCAAAAUUUUAUGAAAAUUCAACAAGCCAAAUUGAUUUUAGUCAAGGUGUUAGGUACCACCUUAAAUAUGUGAUAAAGUCGUCAAGUUGACAGUAGAACCUUGAAAAAAAUGUUUAAAUUCACAUGACGACAAUUUAACUUUAAAAAAUUGUCUACAUUCACAGCUCAACAAUUUAACAUUAACAAAAUUGUUGGUUGACAGAUGGACAAAUUAACUUUUACAAAUAAUUGUCUACCUACAUAGGUGGACAAUUUUCCAGGGUGAGUGGUAAGGUUAGGGUAUCAAGGGCAGCUAGGGUAAGGAUUAUGAUUAAGGGUUAGAUUAAGGAGGUUUGCUACUAAGUUUCAAAAUAACAAGCUUUUUAGGGCAUUAUAAAAGGAACCAAAAGAGCAAAAAAAAAAUUAAAAAAAUAGGUCAAUGUGCUUAUUUUCGAGAUAUUAGCCAUUGAAAUUUUGGCGGGAAAAUAAUCUUUCUUGACUUUUCCAUGCUUUAUCAUUGACAAGUUUAAGUGCCCAAAAACUAAUAAAAAAUAACAAGGAUUUUAUAAGACUUCAAUAGAUAGCUUAUAAUUAUCCAUGUAAAGGAUCUAUAAAAAGAAAAAUAUGGGUCAAUGGGCAAAUUUUUGUAAGGCAUUCAAAUGGAUAAAACCAGAGAAUUCUGAAAAUCUGACAAAAUUCCAAAAUACGACAAGCAAACAUCCUUAAAGGGUAAGGGUUAGGGUUAAGUAAAGGAUGAUAGCGAGUUUGAGGGUGAAGGAAAUUCUCUAUUAAUGUGCAAUUAAGUGCCCUAUAUUUUGUUACUCGUGAGAUAAAAAGGAAGAGAUUAUGAUUUUAAUAUAGGCAUCUGUUGACUUGUCAACCUGUUGACCUGUCUACCAGUCAACCAAAAAAGACUAUUUUAUUCUAUCAAAUUGUCAACCAUUACAAUUAUAAUUUUCCAUUUCAUCAAAUUGUCAACAACAAUAAUUAUAAAAUGAGAAGUAUUAGUU
rnacentral:lncRNA from 1 species